CAGAAUGUACUUCUCUUAUUUACUUUAAUCAAAUGUGCUUCUGUAGCAGGGCAUGCAAAACAACAAAAACAGUAUCUCCAGAUUUAAACUUACCAAGCCCACGUCUGAAAGGCAAUUGCCACGCUCAAGUUGAGCAAAUACAAUUAAAGUAAAUAAGAGAAGUACAUUCUGAACCAGUAAUAACUAGCUACAGGGCAGUACAUUGAUGGUGACAACUUCUUAGCAACCAUUUUCAUCCCCAAACCUUCCAUUCCCGCGAAAAUUGUUGUUGUUGAAAGAUCGUGGACCACGAGAACUAUCUUGGGCAUAACUCACUCGAAUGCUUCGUCCUUGUAAUUCCUGGCCAUCCAUUGCUGACAAUGCUGCACUUGCAGACUCAUCGUUUGAGAAGUCAACAAACCCAAAUCCCCUUGACCUCCCAGAAUCUCUAUCAGUGAUAACCCUUGCACUAACCACGUCACCAAACCCAGAAAAAGCAUCCUUUAGAGACCGGUCAUCAGUCCCAUACGAAAGACCUCCCACAAAAAGCUUGUUUGAUGACAUGCAGCGAAUAGAAUUCAACAUAGAGGCCAUUUGAACUUGGCCAUUCUGGGAAACGCUCUGCCUCACCAGGCUACCAAAUUUGUUACAGAAUGCCAUUUAUACCCACUUUGAGAAGAAAAUCUAAAAAAUCUAAGAGAACGGCUAGGGUUUAAGAGCUGAG
rnacentral:misc_RNA from 1 species